GACAGAGGUGCCGAGCGUUAGGCGGAAUCACUGGGCUUAAAGCGUGUGUAGGCGGCCCGUUAAGUGUCCCGUGAAAUCCCCCGGUUCAACCGGGGAACCGCGGGGCAUACUGGCGGGCUUGGGUCGCUCAGGGGCAAGCGGAACAGGCGGUGGAGCGGUGAAAUGCGUAGAUAUUGGGAGGAACACCAGUGGCGAAGGCGGCUCACUGGACCGGUACUGACGCUGAUGCGCGAAAGCGUGGGGAGCAAACGGG
rnacentral:rRNA from 1 species